CAAUAGCGUAUAUUAAAGUUGUUGCAGUUAAAAGCUCGUAGUUGGACUUCUGAUGUGGAGGGACGGUCCGCCUCACGGUGAGCACUGAUUCUUCACGUCUUCCUCUCGUAGUCUUUUGGCGCACUUAGUUGGGUGCCUUUAGAAUAUGGGACCUUUACUUUGAGGAAAUUAGAGUGUUCACGGCAAGCAAUCGCUUUGAAUACAUUAGCAUGGAAUAAUAAUAUAGGACCUUGGUACUAUUUUGUUGGUUUCUAGAACUAAGGUAAUGAUUAAUAGGGAUAAUUGGGGGCAUUCGUAUAUACGCGUCAGAGGUGGAAUUCUUGGAUUGCGUAUCGACGAACUACUGCGAAAGCAUUUGCCAAGGAUGUUUUCAUUGAUCAAGAACGAAAGUAUGGGGAUCGAAGAUGAUCAGAU
rnacentral:rRNA from 1 species